AUAUUCUGGUUUCUCUUCAGAUCGUAUAAAUCUUUGCCUUUUACUAAAGAUUUCCAUGGAGAAGUAGGCUUUCUUUCUUGCCUGAAACCUAAAUGCACAAGUUGUUUAGAAUACUCAGGGUUUC
rnacentral:snRNA from 1 species